rnacentral:lncRNA from 1 species
CAGGAAAUAUUGUCUCACUUUUUGAUGCACACCAACAUCCCUGUCCAGUGCAGAAGCCUCGUGGGAACUUGCUGUGGGCAAGAAAGAGAAGCAAUGCACAAGAUCCAUGGCUCUGAGGAAAACUGGAGGGCAAAGUGGUGAGAGGAACAGAAAGAAGAAAAUAUUCUACCUUAGUACCUCUAUAAUUCAAUUAUAGAGGAAUUUGAAAUAGUAGCAUAAACCCACCUUUCAUUAAAAAGUUCUUUUCAAAACAAAAGUCAACCUGCAGUACUUUAAAAACACAAGGGGGAAAAGAAGCCUAAAGCCAUUUUUUAUUCAGGAAAUGUUUAUUCUACAGAAACUCUUUCACAUGGAAUUUCCAUUCCUCUUUCAAGAUUUGUAUUUUUG